rnacentral:lncRNA from 1 species
GAAGAAGCGAUUUGCCCUAUCCUCGUAGCAAAGCAGCCCGUCUUUUGCAAGUCUCAAUUUCACUCCCAAGAAUCCAAACUUCAAAUUUCAAGUUAUAUUAGAUGAAAGAAGAAUAUGUAAGUUUAAAUUUUUAUGGAAUCUACAAGAAGAAAAUCUGAUCCGUAUGCGUGUUGCUGGGUAUUUCCUUUCUAUUUGUAAAUUUCAAUUUUCAAUCCUCAAUAGGUCUGUGUACAAAUAUCAUCCAUGUACUGAUGGAAAAGCAGGUUUUCAUUAUUUAAACCUAAAUGCACGGAUAUAUCCUCGUUUUAUAUUUGAA